UACGAAGGGGGCUAGCGUUGCUCGGAAUUACUGGGCGUAAAGGGCGCGUAGGCGGACAGUUUAGUCAGAGGUGAAAGCCCAGGGCUUAACCCUGGAAUUGCCUUUAAGACUGCAUCGCUAGAAUCGUGGAGAGGUGAGUGGAAUUCCGAGUGUAGAGGUGAAAUUCGUAGAUAUUCGGAAGAACACCAGUGGCGAAGGCGACUCACUGGACACGUAUCGACGCUGAGGUGCGAAAGCGUGGGGAGCAAACAGGGAU
rnacentral:rRNA from 1 species